UGGGGAAUAUUGCGCAAUGGGGGAAACCCUGACGCAGCAACGCCGCGUGGAGGAAGAAGGUUUUCGGAUCGUAAACUCCUGUCAUAGCUGACGAUAAUGACGGUAGGCUAUGAGGAAGCCACGGCUAACUACGUGCCAGCAGCCGCGGUAAUACGUAGGUGGCGAGCGUUGUCCGGAAUUACUGGGCGUAAAGGGUGCGCAGGCGGUAUGGCAAGUCAGAUGUGAAAUUCCGGGGCUUAACUUCGGAAUUGCAUUAGAAACUGUCAUACUAGAGUGCAGGAGAGGAAAGCGGAAUUCCUAGUGUAGCGGUGAAAUGCGUAGAUAUUAGGAAGAACACCAGUGGCGAAGGCGGCUUUCUGGACUGUAACUGACGCUGAGGCACGAAAGCGUGGGGAGCAAACAGG
rnacentral:rRNA from 2 species